UCCUCACUCUGGCGGCGUGCUUAACACAUGCAAGUCGAACGGAAAGGCCCUGCUUUUGUGGGGUGCUCGAGUGGCGAACGGGUGAGUAACACGUGAGUAACCUGCCCUUGACUUUGGGAACACUUCAGGAAACUGGGGCUAAUACCGGACAGGAGCUCCUGCUGCAUGGUGGGGGUUGGAAAGUCUCGGCGGUUGGGUAUUGACUCGCGGCGUAUCAGCUUGUUGGUGGGGUAGUGGCUUACCAAGGCUUUGACGGGUAGCCGGCCUGAGAGGGUGACCGGCCACAUUGGGACUGAGAUACGGCCCAGACUCCUACGGGAGGCAGCAGUGGGGAAUAUUGCACAAUGGGCGGAAGCCUGAUGCAGCAACGCCGCGUGCGGGAUGACGGCCUUCGGGUUGUAAACCUAUUUCGCCUGUGACGAAGCGUGAGUGACGGUAAUGGGUAAAGAAGCACCGGCUAACUACGUG
rnacentral:rRNA from 1 species